rnacentral:rRNA from 1 species
AUUGAACGCUGGCGGCAGGCCUAACACAUGCAAGUCGAACGAGUGGCGGACGGGUGAGUAAUGUCUGGGAAACUGCCCGCUGGAGGGGGAUAACUACUGGAAACGGUAGCUAAUACCGCAUACCCUCGGAUGUGCCCCGAUGGGAGUAGCUUGUAGGUGAGGUAACGGCUCACCUAGGCGACGAUCCCUAGCUGGUCUGAGAGGAUGAACAGGCACACUGGAACGGAGACACGGGGCAGACUACUACGGGAGGCAGCAGUGGGGAAUAUUGAACAAGGGGCGCAAGCCUGAUGCAGCCAUGCCGCGUGUAUGAAGAAGGCCUUCGGGUUGUAAAGUACUUUAAGCGGGGAGGCGUUACCCGCAGAAGAAGCACCGGCUAACUCCGUGCCAGCAGCCGCGGUAAUAC